rnacentral:lncRNA from 1 species
AAUCUGGUUGAUAAGUUCAGCUGGGAGAGAUGCCAGGUCUUGCCGCACUCGAAUGCGACUGCGGGACUCAAGGACCACCUGCUCAGGAAGGGCCUCUACCUUCUCAGCUGCAUCUUCUUCGUCGUCCUCUUCAUUGUGGUAGGAGCUGGGGCUGUCACUGGUGUAAGCACUGGAGGUACCUGGACUGGUCUGCUCUGACAUGCUGGGCCCACUCACACAUCCCCCUACUGCAACCACAGCCACUGCUGCUGUAGCUGUGGCCAUUGAGAGUGGCUGAGGCAUCCGGUUAAGGGCCAGGUCUGGCGUGGAGAACUUGGUCAUCUUGCGGCCGCCUUGUUGCCACCACUGCCUCCAGCCUCCUUCUGGCUGCUGUCCCACAGCCUCUUGGCCAUGAGUGUGCAUUGCACUGAGUCCAACUCCUGUCUUGACCGGUGACACAAGGGGCAGUGGCGUGCUACAGGCUGGCCACCCCAAUGUCUGCGCUACAGGACUCUGAGGCUCUGAGGAUGGGGCCUCCUCCGGGUGCAGGCCCUGGGAGUCGCAACUUGGAGAGCUAACUUUGAGGAAGAACUCAGUGCCUUUCUCCAUGAUCUCCUGGAUCUGCAGGAAGCCGGCUGUGUAGAUGAGCAGGAACUGGUCCCCCAUGUUCAUGCUCAGCCGGCCUGUGUAACAAAAUGUGAGGAUCUGCUGGAAUGACUGUGGCUGCACAGCGGCCGGCAGUUCUACCACAGCACUGCGGCUGCUGUUGAAGAGGUCCCGGAAGUAAGAGCUACUCGCGGCCAGCGCAGCACGGUGGGCUUUGAAGGCAUGGCCCGUCACCACCACUGACACGUCACAGUAUAGUCCCUUGUAGCCGCUGCUCAUUGAGGCACUCAAGGAUGCUGUUGCCGAAGUUUGGAAUCUCCAUCUGCAAGGUCUGCGCCAUGGCAGCAGCUGCGCUGUGGCCGCGCUCCAGGGCCUCCCGGCGGGCUCCACAACAGCAGCUGGGGCCCAGCCUGGGCCCAGGGCGCGCCUCCCUGUGCCUGGGCCUCGGCCUCAGCCUCCGCCUCUGCGGCCUCCGCAGCCUCCACCUCAGCAGCAGUGGUAGCCGCGGCGGCCAUUCAUUGUGGCUAUUGCUGAUUUUUGAGUUCCCGACAUAUGUACAAAUCCUCUCUCCGAUAAAUAGAGUGCAAAUAUUGCCUCUAAUUCUGAAUGCUGUUGUUUCACUCUGUCGAUUAAUUUUGCUGUACAGAUACUUCUUAAUUUAAUAUAAUGCUAGUUUUUUGUUUUGUCUUU